rnacentral:misc_RNA from 1 species
UCCGGUUUAACACCGGCAGUCUCGUUAGAGUGGCCAGCCGAACUGAUGCCAACUAACGACAAGGGUUGCGCUCGUUGCGGGACUUAACCCAACAUCUCACGACACGAGCUGACGACAGCCAUGCAGCACCUGUACUAGCUCCCCGAAGGGUCCUUCAUCUUUCGAAUCCGUACUACUAGCAUGUCAAGCCUUGGUAAGGUUCUUCGCGUUGCAUCGAAUUAAACCACACGCUCCACCGCUUGUGCGGGCCCCCGUCAAUUCCCUUGAGUUUCAACCUUGCGGCCGUACUUCCCAGGCGGAAUACUUAAUGCGUUAGCUGCGGCACCGGCGGUAACCCGCCGACACUUAGUAUUCAUAGUUUAAGGCGCGGACUAC